AUUGAACGCUGGCGGCAGGCUUAACACAUGCGAGUCGAGCGGGGUGAUGGUGCUUGCACUAUCACUUAGCGGCGGACGGGUGAGUAAUGCUUAGGAAUCUGCCUAUUAGUGGGGGACAACAUCUCGAAAGGGAUGCUAAUACCGCAUACGUCCUACGGGAGAAAGCAGGGGAUCACUUGUGACCUUGCGCUAAUAGAUGAGCCUAAGUCGGAUUAGCUAGUUGGUGGGGUAAAGGCCUACCAAGGCGACGAUCUGUAGCGGGUCUGAGAGGAUGAUCCGCCACCCUGGGACUGGGACACGGCCCAGACUCCUACGGGAGGCAGCAGUGGGGAAUAUUGGACAAUGGGGGGAACCCUGAUCCAGCCAUGCCGCGUGUGUGAAGAAGGCCUUAUGGUUGUAAAGCACUUUAAGCGAGGAGGAGGCUCUUUUGGUUAAUACCCAAGAUGAGUGGACGUUACUCGCAGAAUAAGCACCGGCUAACUCUGUGCCAGCCGCCGCCGUAA
rnacentral:rRNA from 1 species